CUUGACCUACGGGGGGCAGCAGUAGGGAAUCUUCCACAAUGGACGAAAGUCUGAUGGAGCAACGCCGCGUGAGUGAAGAAGGGUUUCGGCUCGUAAAGCUCCGUUGGUAGUGAAGAAAGAUAGAGCUAGUAACUGGCCUUUAUUUGACGGUAAUUACUUAGAAAGUCACGGCUAACUACGUGCCAGCAGCCGCGGUAAUACGUAGGUGGCAAGCGUUGUCCGGAAUUAUUGGGUGUAAAGGGUGCGUAGACGGGAAAUUAAGUUAGUUGUGAAAUCCCUUGGCUUAACUGAGGAACUGCAACUAA
rnacentral:rRNA from 1 species